rnacentral:rRNA from 1 species
CGGCGAACGGGUGAGUAACACGUGGGUGACUGCCUUGCACUCUGGGAUAAGCCUGGGAAACUGGGUCUAAUACCGGAUAUGACCUGCCUCUGCAUGGGGGUUGGUGGAAAGAUUUAUCGGUGCGAGAUGGGCCCGCGGCCUAUCAGCUUGUUGGUGGGGUAAUGGCCUACCAAGGCGACGACGGGUAGCCGGCCUGGGAGGGCGACCGGCCACACUGGGACUGAGAACGGCCCAGACUCCUAGGGAGGCAGCAGUGGGGAAUAUUGCACAAUGGGCUAAAGCCUGAUGCAGCGACGCCGCGUGAGGGAUGACGGCCUUCGGGUUGUAAACCUCUUUCGACAGGGACGAAGCGCAAGUGACGGUACCUGUAGAAGAAGCACCGGCCAACUACGUGCCAGCAGCCGCGGUAAUACGUAGGGUGCGAGCGUUGUCCGGAAUUACUGGGCGUAAAGAGCUUGUAGGCGGUUCGUCGCGUCGAUUGUGAAAACUUGCAGCUCAACUGCAAGCUUGCAGUCGAUACGGGCGGACUAGAGUACUUCAGGGGAGACUGGAAUUCCUGGUGUAGCGGUGAAAUGCGCAGAUAUCAGGAGGAACACCGGUGGCGAAGGCGGGUCUCUGGGAAGUAACUGACGCUGAGAAAGCGAAAGCGUGGGUAGCGAACAGGAUUAGAUACCCUGGUAGUCCACGCCGUAAACGGGUGGGUACUAGGUGUGGGGUUUUCCUUCCACGGGAUCCGUGCCGUAAGCUUAACGCAUUAAGUACCCCCGCCUGGGGAGUACGGCCGCAAGGCUAAAACUCAAAGGAAUUGACGGGGGCCCGCACAAGCGGCGGAGCAUGUGGAUUAAUUCGAUGCAACGCGAAGAACCUUACCUGGGUUUGACAUACACCAGAAAGCUGCAGAGAUGUAGCCCCCCUUGUGGUUGGUGUACAGGUGGUGCAUGGCUGUCGUCAGCUCGUGUCGUGAGAUGUUGGGUUAAGUCCCGCAACGAGCGCAACCCUUAUCUUAUGUUGCCAGCGCGUAAUGGCGGGGACUCGUGAGAGACUGCCGGGGUCAACUCGGAGGAAGGUGGGGACGACGUCAAGUCAUCAUGCCCCUUAUGUCCAGGGCUUCACACAUGCUACAAUGGCCGGUACAGAGGGCUGCGAUACCGUGAGGUGGAGCGAAUCCCUUAAAGCCGGUCUCAGUUCGGAUCGGGGUCUGCAACUCGACCCCGUGAAGUUGGAGUCGCUAGUAAUCGCAGAUCAGCAACGCUGCGGUGAAUACGUUCCCGGGCCUUGUACACACCGCCCGUCAUGUCAUGAAAGGUCGGGUAACACCCGAAGCUCGGUGGCCCUAACCUCUUGGGGGGGAGCC